rnacentral:rRNA from 1 species
AUUGAACGCUGGCGGCAUGCCUUACACAUGCAAGUCGAACGGCAGCAUGCUCUUUCUUGCUAGAUUGCUGGCGAGUGGCGCACGGGUGAGUCAUACAUCACAACCUCCCCUGUUGUGGGGGAUAUCUAGUCGAAAGAUCAGCUACUACCUCAUACGUCCUGCUGCUUAGAGUGGGGGACCGCAAUUCCUCAUGCUGUAGUAGCCUCCGAUGUGGUGUUAGCUAUUUUGUGGGGUAAGGUCGCACCAAGUCGACGAUCAGUCGCUGGUCUGAGAGAACGAUAGGCGACACUGGAAGUGAGACAGGGACAAGACUACUAAGGGAGGCAGCAGUGGGGAAUGUUGGGCAAAGGGCGAAAGCAUGAUCCAGCAAGGCCGCGUGUGUGAAGAAGGCCUUCGGGUUGUAAAGCACUUUUGUCCGGAAAGAAAUGGCUCUGGUUAAUACCUGGGGUGGAUGACGGUACCGGAAGAAUAAGGACCGGCUAACUACGUG